rnacentral:sRNA from 1 species
CUAAUCUGCCUUCCUUAGCGCGUUUUUAUUUUCCUUCACUGCCGUUUUGAGUUCAUCUCUUCAUCUCCACUUCAACUCUUCAUUUCCACUUCGACUCUUCAUCUUUGUCGGCCACCAUCUCCUUCACGCCGUCAUUCACUGCGCCACCUUCAUUAGAUCUCCAUCUUCUUCACCUUCCAGCCACCACCUCGCGCCCGUAUCGAUCACCGUGAGUCAUCAGAAUCAACAACAACGUCAUUUUUGUUCCCUCAUUGAAUCAAAACGCAAAGCCCUAAAUCACCACCACAGUCUACGAAUAUAUCAACCACAAAUCACAAAUCAGCACCUGCAAAAAACCAAAAAUUGCAAUCCGCUACCACGAGCAACAUUGCGCCACCCAAACUGUGAAAACACAGUUCCGUCUUGAAGAAAAGAGCUCUAGUUUGAAAAGGGAAAGUCCGGCUGCGGCUGC